CAUCUCCCUCACAGUGCACUGCAUUAAAUUAUUUGAAGUUCUUCGUGGUUGAUUCUUUCUUUCUUUCUUUCUUUCUUUCUUUCUUUCUUUCUUUCUUUCUUUCUUUCUUUCUUUCUUUCUUUCUUUCUAUUUAUUUAUUUAUUUAUUUAUUAUUCCCUCCUAUCAAUACUUGACUUUAUUUUUACUAUAAUUUUCUGUUUUCCCAUCUUGAGCACUACUAAGUAUUACUAAUUACUAUUGUUUAGAAUUAUUUCUAAUUGUUUAAUUGUUUAAUAAGUAAAUGAGAAGGACAAUGACAAUAACUAUAACAAUAAUAACCAUUUAUUACUAUAUUUAUUUACUACCCUUUCAUGCAGUAAUAUUAUUAAGGCACACAAUUAUUCUAAUUUAAAGUACCAACACUUUGUUUAAAUGAGAAAUUGCAGACAUCUAAAACCACUUUUACAAGUGGCUGAUAAAGGAGAAAAGGGGAGGGGUUACUAAUAAAAAGCAGAUGAAAUAGACAAGCACCGAAUGUCCAACGAAUAGCAGGUUGGGAGACCAAUCAGGAAAAAAAGGCACGAGGAGGCUUACUCCUCCUCAGUCCCUACAAGAGCGAGUUGCCCUUCCUCCUCCUCCUCCUCCUCCUCCUCCUCCUCCUCGGUCCAUCCCAGGAUCUGCCCCCCCCCUUCCAAGCUGGAGAUGGUUAGGAGUGGGGCUUUUCAUUCCCCCAGCUGGCAAGCGGGGGGGGGGGGGUGAAAUAGUUAGGGUCCUCCAGCAUGAAGCUACCAGUAGAGGGAGCCAAGAAGUUGUUGGCCCGGUGAGUAGAAGAAUUGUCUAGCAUGCUUGGUCUCAGAGUGCCUUUCAUACUGACGUUCUAGCCUUCAGAAAUCAGAGGGCAGGUCCUCUAGGCCCGCCUCUUCCUACAAGUCUUCAUGGGGACCUUCUAGCCCCUUGCAAUUGGAGAGCAGGUCCUCCAGGCCCACCUAUUCCUGUGCUGUUGCCAUGGCAAUACAAGGACGCUAAAGGCUGGUCCGUUUGGCUUUUCUUCCCCGCCAUGUCUUCCCUAUUUUUUGCCCCACCUGCCCCUGCGGCUUCCAGAGGCUGUUCCGGCUGCCCGCCGGUGGGAGACCCCGGCCUGUACAGUACGCUGCGCCGCCCGCACCGGGGACGACAGCUAGCGCGCAUGUGCUCUACAGCCACGGCGAGGUCACUCUCAGCAGCCUGAGCCUGAGGACCAGAACACGCAGAGUUAUGGUAACGUGCUCUGUAUAGAGGACACGGAGCAGUUUCUAGUGUGGGUGAGGAGGCCGAUCCGAGAGUGACAAUCCCUUCGACACUGAAGACAAAUCCAAUCUGCCCCCUGUCCAGCUCCCUGGUUUUGCUGCUUUUGUGACUUCCUUUUUGCCUCGGCCUGCCGGACAAGGGUCUUUUCAAAUUGGGAGAGGCCGUGAUGCAUCGCCUGCCUCCAGGCUGAACACUCAGAUGUCAGGGUUUUAGAGAGGCAUGUUAAAUAAACAAAAUAUUAUAUUAAAGGUAAAAACA
rnacentral:lncRNA from 1 species